rnacentral:rRNA from 1 species
UACGUCAGGGCGCAAGCGUUGUCCGGAAUUAUUGGGCGUAAAGAGCUCGUAGGUGGCUUGUUGCGUCUGCCGUGAAAGCCCGGGGCUCAACUCCGGGUCUGCAGUCGAUACGGGGCAGACUAGAGUUCGGUAGGGGAGACUGGAAUUCCUGGUGUAGCGGUGAAAUGCGCAGAUAUCAGGAGGAACACCGGUGGCGAAGGCGGGUCUCUGGGCCGAUAUUGACGCUGAGGAGCGAAAGCGUGGGGAGCGAACAGG